rnacentral:hammerhead_ribozyme from 1 species
GCACUGCCGAGGAGUCCCACAAUAGGACGUAACGACCGUCCAGUGC